rnacentral:lncRNA from 1 species
AUCUAUAUGCAGCAGACAUGGUGCUAGGACUCCACACGUCCUCUCAGUAAAUCCCAGGAGACAGGACCCCAGAGGCAUUGCUCUCAUUCAGUGCUCUCGCCUCCCUCCUGGAUUGCCUAGUCAGGUAAACCUGCCGCAUACAGGUGGGAAGGGCCGUCAUGGGGGUCUGAGAGAGGCCGGUGGGGCCUGAAGGAGAGAGUGCUUGGCUCCACGUGGGAAGAAUUGGGCAGGUGGGAGCAGUUGCAGAGGGCUUGCAGAGGAGGUUGUCAGAGAGGGCGUUCUGGGUGGUUGGGGCAGGGGGCAGGGGGCAGAGGCUUAGAGGCACAGAGCAGCAGGGAGCCUCAUCCUCAGGGAACACUGAGAGUUUGGGGAGGGAGAGUUGUUUUGUGUGGGAGGCAGGGUGGGAGUAGAUGAUGCUGGGGAGGUGGGAGUGAGGGGCCCAGAUCAUGAGGGACCUCGGCGUCCUGGCUCGGUUGAGCAGUUUGGACUUUGUGCUCUGAACAUGUGUUUCAGAGUGAGACAUGGAGAGGGGCUGAUGUAACCACCCCAGCAGGAGUAAGGAGGCUGGAAGGAGGAAACCAGUGAUGAAGGAUUUGCCAUAACCUUGUCCUGGAUGGAGAGCCAUGGCCAAAGUGGGUGGAGAGGAAUGGCCAUGCAAGGCAGCUGUGAUGGAUUCACCUCUGUGCAAGACAGCUAUGACGGAGUUGAUAGAAAGUGUGAGAACAUGGGCCACCCCUCCUUGGAUGUGUAAGUAUUAUAGACAUCCUAGAUAUAAGUAUUACAGACCCCUACCAGGACAGGGAAUUCCAGAGGAAGAACAGGAUUUGAGGGAAAAAGGCGGUAAAUUAAUUUUGAUGUUCAAUAAGCAAGUCAAAGUGCUGCAUUCCAGGCAGUGGGCUGGACACCU